UACGAAGGGGGCUAGCGUUGCUCGGAAUCACUGGGCGUAAGCGCACGUAGGCGGAUCUUUAAGUCAGGGGUGAAAUCCUGGAGCUCAACUCCAGAACUGCCUUUGAUACUGGGGAUCUCGAGUCCGGAAGAGGUGAGUGGAACUCCGAGUGUAGAGGUGAAAUUCGUAGAUAUUCGGAGGAACACCAGUGGCGAAGGGCGGCUCACUGGCUCGGUACUGACGCUGAGGUGCGAAAGC
rnacentral:rRNA from 1 species